rnacentral:rRNA from 1 species
UGAGUAGGGCGGGACACGUGGUAUCCUGUCUGAAUAUGGGGGGACCAUCCUCCAAGGCUAAAUACUCCUGACUGACCGAUAGUGAACCAGUACCGUGAGGGAAAGGCGAAAAGAACCCCGGCGAGGGGAGUGAAAAAGAACCUGAAACCGUGUACGUACAAGCAGUGGGAGCACAGGUUUACCUGUGUGACUGCGUACCUUUUGUAUAAUGGGUCAGCGACUUAUAUUCUGUAGCAAGGUUAACCGUAUAGGGGAGCCGGAGGGAAACCGAGUCUUAAUUGGGCGUUAAGUUGCAGGGUAUAGACCCGAAACCCGGUGAUCUAGCCAUGGGCAGGUUGAAGGUUGGGUAACACUAACUGGAGGACCGAACCGACUAAUGUUGAAAAAUUAGCGGAUGACCUGUGGCUGGGGGUGAAAGGCCAAUCAAACCGGGAGAUAGCUGGUUCUCCCCGAAAGCUAUUUAGGUAGCGCCUCGUGAAUUCAUCUCCGGGGGUAGAGCACUGUUUCGGCUAGGGGGCCAUCCCGGCUUACCAACCCGAUGCAAACUGCGAAUACCGGAGAAUGUUAUCACGGGAGACACACGGCGGGUGCUAACGUCCGUCGUGAAGAGGGAAACAACCCAGACCGCCAGCUAAGGUCCCAAAGUCAUGGUUAAGUGGGAAACGAUGUGGGAAGGCCCAGACAGCCAGGAUGUUGGCUUAGAAGCAGCCAUCAUUUAAAGAAAGCGUAAUAGCUCACUGGUCGAGUCGGCCUGCGCGGAAGAUGUAACGGGGCUAAACCAUGCACCGAAGCUGCGGCAGCGACACUGUGUGUUGUUGGGUAGGGGAGCGUUCUGUAAGCCUGUGAAGGUGUGUCGUGAGGCAUGCUGGAGGUAUCAGAAGUGCGAAUGCUGACAUAAGUAACGAUAAAGCGGGUGAAAAGCCCGCUCGCCGGAAGACCAAGGGUUCCUGUCCAACGUUAAUCGGGGCAGGGUGAGUCGACCCCUAAGGCGAGGCCGAAAGGCGUAGUCGAUGGGAAACGGGUUAAUAUUCCCGUACUUGGUGUUACUGCGAAGGGGGGACGGAGAAGGCUAUGUUGGCCGGGCGACGGUUGUCCCGGUUUAAGCGUGUAGGUGUGUGUUCCAGGUAAAUCCGGUUCACUUUAACACUGAGGCGUGACGACGAGGCACUACGGUGCUGAAGCAACAAAUGCCCUGCUUCCAGGAAAAGCCUCUAAGCAUCAGGUAACAUCAAAUCGUACCCCAAACCGACACAGGUGGUCAGGUAGAGAAUACCAAGGCGCUUGAGAGAACUCGGGUGAAGGAACUAGGCAAAAUGGUGCCGUAACUUCGGGAGAAGGCACGCUGACACGUAGGUGAAGUGAUUUACUCAUGGAGCUGAAGUCAGUCGAAGAUACCAGCUGGCUGCAACUGUUUAUUAAAAACACAGCACUGUGCAAACACGAAAGUGGACGUAUACGGUGUGACGCCUGCCCGGUGCCGGAAGGUUAAUUGAUGGGGUCAGCGCAAGCGAAGCUCCUGAUCGAAGCCCCGGUAAACGGCGGCCGUAACUAUAACGGUCCUAAGGUAGCGAAAUUCCUUGUCGGGUAAGUUCCGACCUGCACGAAUGGCGUAAUGAUGGCCAGGCUGUCUCCACCCGAGACUCAGUGAAAUUGAACUCGCUGUGAAGAUGCAGUGUACCCGCGGCAAGACGGAAAGACCCCGUGAACCUUUACUAUAGCUUGACACUGAACAUUGAGCCUUGAUGUGUAGGAUAGGUGGGAGGCUUUGAAGCGUGGACGCCAGUCUGCGU